CGUGUAGGCGGUUUGUUAAGUCUGAUGUGAAAGCCCCGGGCUCAACCUGGGAAGUGCAUUGGGUACUGGCAGACUUGAAUACGGGAGAGGGUAGUGGAAUUCCUGGUGUAGGAGUGAAAUCCGUAGAUAUCAGGAGGAACACCGGUGGCGAAGGCGGCUACCUGGACCGAUAUUGACGCUGAGACGCGAAAGCGUGGGGAGCAAACAGGAUUAGAUACCCUGGUAGUCCACGCCGUAAACGAUGAGUACUAGGUGUUGCGGGUAUUGACCCCUGCAGUGCCGCAGCUAACGCAUUAAGUACUCCGCCUGGGAAGUACGGUCGCAAGACUAAA
rnacentral:rRNA from 1 species